rnacentral:rRNA from 1 species
CCUUGCCAGCCCGCUCAGAAACUUAAGGAAUUGACGGGGCCCGCACAAGCGGAGGAGCAUGUGGUUUAAUUCGAUGAUACGCGAGGAACCUUACCUGGGCUCAAAUGUAUGUUGACGUAUUCUGAAAGGGAUACUUCUUCGGACAAUAUACAAGGUGCUGCAUGGUUGUCGUCAGCUCGUGCCGUGAGGUGUCGGGUUAAGUCCCAUAACGAGCGCAACCCCUAUCAUUAGUUGCCAUCAGGUCAAGCUGGGGACUCUAAUGAAACUGCCUACGCAAGUAGUGAGGAAGGUGGGGAUGACGUCAAAUCAGCACGGCCCUUACGUCCAGGGCUACACACGUGCUACAAUGGCCGGUACAAAGGGCAGCUACCUGGUGACAGGAUGCAAAUCUCCAAAGUCGGUCUCAGUUCGGAUCGGAGUCUGCAACCCGACUCCGUGAAGUUGGAUUCGCUAGUAAUCGCGCAUCAGCCAUGGCGCGGUGAAUACGUUCCCGGGCCUU